rnacentral:misc_RNA from 1 species
UUUCCGUAGGUGAACCUGCGGAAGGAUCAUUAUUGGAUUUUGAAACUUCAGGCUGCUGCUGGCUCUCCUCGGAGGGCAUGUGCACGCUUGUUGUCCAUUAUUUCUCCCACUGUGCACAAAUUGUAGACCUUUCAGUAGGCCUAUGUUGUUCUUCACAAUCUCUGAAUGUAAUAGAAUGGUUUUGAAUCUUGGGAAGUACAAUACAACUUUCAGCAACGGAUCUCUUGGCUCUC